rnacentral:misc_RNA from 1 species
CGGAUUCACAGUAAGUUAACAGAAGAGUUUGAGCUUCGGCGAUCAAGGAGUAGUACAUGGAGUUCUACCCUUUCUCCAUCUGCUGAGAAACGCAUUAUGGAUGGAAGAACUCUUGCUUCCACAUAUCAAGUGCUAAGGUCGGAUGAAGUUGAAUUUGAAGUUAUCUCAGCAGAGCGUUCAGACAUCGUGAAUACAGGUACUCGAUCUUGUUCUUGCCGUGAUUGGCAGUUGUAUAGGAUACCAUGUUCUCACGCCGUUGCUGCUCUCACAUCAUAUAAAAAGGAUGUGUAUGCCUUCACAGAUAAAUAUUUCACUGCAGCUAGUUAUCGCGAGAGUUAUAGUAAAGAGGUACACCCUAUCCCUGAUAAACUUGAAUGGUCUAGAACCCGAAUAGUCCGACCACCCAAGUUCCGCCGCCCACCUGGACGACCUGAAAAGAAGCGAUUAUGCGUGGAAGAUCUUAAUCGCGAAAAGCAUACUGUCCAUUGCAGCAAGUGCAAUCAAACUGGACAUUACAAGACAACCUGUAAAACAGAGGUUGUUCAAAGUACACAACAGUUCUAGAUGUAUAGCCAUCCCAGUCCCCUGUAUUUUCUUUCGAGUUGAGAAGUUCUCGAGAAAGGUUCAAAACGAUGGAUAAUGGACUCGUCCCUCUACCCUCCGCCACUAAGGUUAGCGCUCUUUCUCGAAGUUUUUCAUUUAUCUUUUAGGUACCUUUUCUUGGAGAUAGAAUUAGAAAAUAUUGUAGAAAGAUGUGAG